CAUCUUGAAGCAGCUGGGAGAUGGUUUCAUGGAUGUUCAUCAAACUACUCUUUUUGUGUACUUUUGAAAAUUUCCAAUGAAGAUCUUUAAAGUUGUGUUAUCUAUGAAUGAAGAAAUGAGCCAGCUGUGCACAUAAACUUUCUUCACUGAAAAAAGGGAGACUGGGAGUGGGGAUGUAGCUCAGUGGUAGACACCCAAAGUCCUUGGUUCAGUCCCCCCUCCCCCCAAAAAAAAGGAGCACGGGUCUGGAUUUCUCAGGGAGGAAGCCAGUCAGCUGCCUGGAGGCCACUCAGCCAAGUCUCACUGGCGCUAUUAAAGAAAAGCAGUCUCUGGUCAAGAGAGGUAGUGGAGGUAGAGGGAAGGCAGAGGCAGAAAAACUCAUUUGUAUUGGUUUUGGGUUUUUUUGGUUUUGGUCCUAGGGAUUGAAUCCAGGUGUACUUUACCACUGAGUCACAGCCCUUUUUAUUUUUUUGAGACAGGGUCUAAGUUGCUGAGGCUGGUCUCGAACACGACAUCCUCCUGCCUUAGACUCUCCCGUCUACAGGCGCAGCCACUGUGCUGGGCAAAUCCUGAGUUAUUUGACAGUGAAUUAUUCCAAGCAUCCAGGCUCCCAGGAUGAAAAUCAAACCCAAAAGUUAUUCCAGUGUGGGCCACCAGCCUCAUUCAUGGUCAUAUUGUCCCCAAAGACUCUUAAGACAUUUCCCAAAAACAUGAGUCUCUGGGGCUCGGGAUGUGGCUCAAGCGGUAGCGUGUUUGCCUGGCAUGCGUGCGGCCCGGGUUCGAUCCUCUUCACCACAUACAAACAAAGAUGUUGUGUCCGUGUCCGCCAAAAACUAAAUAAAUAAAUAUUUUGAAAAUUCUUUCUCUUAAAAAAAAAAAAAACAAGUCUCCCUUCCCUUCUUCUAAGGCUUCUAAUGCUGUCGUGGGGC
rnacentral:lncRNA from 1 species